CCCAGCAGACCUGAGAUUUGCUUGAUGUAUUCUGUCUUGUCUGCAAUACUUUGUGUCUGAGAUCUACAGCUAUAAUGGCUAUUGGACUCCCUGUAGAUUAAAAAAAUGCAUUAAAUAGUAUAUCUUUAUAAACCUGCUCCCUGGUGAGAGAUGAGGCCCUGACUGUGCCACUGCCUGGGAGGGAGCGUCUGCCCCUGGCUGACUGAGUGUCUUGGGGCAUAUCACCAAGACCCUUAAAUAACCCACAAUCUCCAGGUCUUUGGUGGGGAUGUAUUUCUCCAGGAUCUUGUCAAAGUCAGGGUGGGAUGACAGGGACAGCAACAUUCGCCGGCCAAAGAACCUGAGGGUUGAAACAUUGUAAUCGUAACUGUCAGGGAGUGUCAGGUGAACUACCAGAAAGCACCCAAUAAAUGUCCAUUGUUAUGCAGAUGAUGCCCAGCUGUAUUCCUCUAUAAAGCCAGAUGAAACCAAUCAGGUAGACAAACUUCUGGAUUGUCUUAAAGACAUAAAGGCCUGGACAACUUCCACUGACUAUUUUUUGACUAGGACUUUUUUUUACUUCUAAAGUCAAAACUGAGUUAUGAAAACAUAAGUGAACCUGGUUUCCUGUGAGGAGUCUUGGGCGAGUUUGGUGACAGCAGGUAAGAUCCUCUCAGUGAGAUCUUUGCCCCCAGACAGAAGACGGGCAGCACCAACCUUCUCCACCAGAUUGGCCAGAUGCUGAGCGGUGCAUUUUCUCACCAAGGCGCUAAGAGAGAAGAGCGUUGAUGCUGCGAGUGGGAGUGCAGUGCUGCACCAUGCAAUCCAGGGCUGCAUCGACAUCUUGCCUAAUGAAGGCGUUAGUCUCCCCGGCCUUCUGCAGUAAGGCUUUAGCUGUUCCUUCCAGCUCCUGGUC